rnacentral:rRNA from 1 species
UACAGAGGUCCCAAGCGUUGUUCGGAUUCAUUGGGCGUAAAGGGUGCGUAGGUGGCGCCGUAAGUCGGGUGUGAAAUUUCGGAGCUUAACUCCGAAACUGCAUUCGAUACUGCGGUGCUCGAGGACUGGAGAGGAGACUGGAAUUCAUGGUGUAGCAGUGAAAUGCGUAGAGAUCAUGAGGAAGACCAGUGGCGAAGGCGGGGCUCUGGACAGUUCCUGACACUGAGGCACGAAGGCCAGGGGAGCAAACGGG